AUAAUGGGUCAGCGACUUAUAUUCUGUAGCAAGGUUAACCGAAUAGGGGAGCCGAAGGGAAACCGAGUCUUAACUGGGCGUUAAGUUGCAGGGUAUAGACCCGAAACCCGGUGAUCUAGCCAUGGGCAGGUUGAAGGUUGGGUAACACUAACUGGAGGACCGAACCGACUAAUGUUGAAAAAUUAGCGGAUGACUUGUGGCUGGGGGUGAAAGGCCAAUCAAACCGGGAGAUAGCUGGUUCUCCCCGAAAGCUAUUUAGGUAGCGCCUCGUGAAUUCAUCUCCGGGGGUAGAGCACUGUUUCGGCAAGGGGGUCAUCCCGACUUACCAACCCGAUGCAAACUGCGAAUACCGGAGAAUGUUAUCACGGGAGACACACGGCGGGUGCUAACGUCCGUCGUGAAGAGGGAAACAACCCAGACCGCCAGCUAAGGUCCCAAAGUCAUGGUUAAGUGGGAAACGAUGUGGGAAGGCCCAGACAGCCAGGAUGUUGGCUUAGAAGCAGCCAUCAUUUAAAGAAAGCGUAAUAGCUCACUGGUCGAGUCGGCCUGCGCGGAAGAUGUAACGGGGCUAAACCAUGCACCGAAGCUGCGGCAGCGACGCUGAUGCGUUGUUGGGUAGGGGAGCGUUCUGUAAGCCUGUGAAGGUGUGCUGUGAGGCAUGCUGGAGGUAUCAGAAGUGCGAAUGCUGACAUAAGUAACGAUAAAGCGGGUGAAAAGCCCGCUCGCCGGAAGACCAAGGGUUCCUGUCCAACGUUAAUCGGGGCAGGGUGAGUCGACCCCUAAGGCGAGGCCGAAAGGCGUAGUCGAUGGGAAACAGGUUAAUAUUCCUGUACUUGGUGUUACUGCGAAGGGGGGACGGAGAAGGCUAUGUUGGCCGGGCGACGGUUGUCCCGGUUUAAGCGUGUAGGCUGGUUUUCCAGGCAAAUCCGGAAAAUCAAGGCUGAGGCGUGAUGACGAGGCACUACGGUGCUGAAGCAACAAAUGCCCUGCUUCCAGGAAAAGCCUCUAAGCAUCAGGUAACAUCAAAUCGUACCCCAAACCGACACAGGUGGUCAGGUAGAGAAUACCAAGGCGCUUGAGAGAACUCGGGUGAAGGAACUAGGCAAAAUGGUGCCGUAACUUCGGGAGAAGGCACGCUGAUAUGUAGGUGAAGUCCCUCGCGGAUGGAGCUGAAAUCAGUCGAAGAUACCAGCUGGCUGCAACUGUUUAUUAAAAACACAGCACUGUGCAAACACGAAAGUGGACGUAUACGGUGUGACGCCUGCCCGGUGCCGGAAGGUUAAUUGAUGGGGUCAGCGCAAGCGAAGCUCUUGAUCGAAGCCCCGGUAAACGGCGGCCGUAACUAUAACGGUCCUAAGGUAGCGAAAUUCCUUGUCGGGUAAGUUCCGACCUGCACGAAUGGCGUAAUGAUGGCCAGGCUGUCUCCACCCGAGACUCAGUGAAAUUGAACUCGCUGUGAAGAUGCAGUGUACCCGCGGCAAGACGGAAAGACCCCGUGAACCUUUACUAUAGCUUGACACUGAACAUUGAGCCUUGAUGUGUAGGAUA
rnacentral:rRNA from 1 species